AACCUAUGGUGAGGGCACCGUCUCAAUAAGUCCUUAUACCUCUCCCAUGCAUCAUAUAACGUCUCUAAAUCUAUCUAAACAAAGGAAAAGAUAUCAUUCCUCAACUU
rnacentral:snoRNA from 1 species